CUUGAACCCAGGAGGCAGAGGUUGCAGUGAGCCCAGAUAGGGCUACUGCACUCCAGCCUGGGUGAGAGUGAAACUGUCUCAAAAAAAAAAAAAAAAAGAAAAAGAAAAGAAAACACAGGAAAAGGAACUCACCUCUUUUAUCAUCUUAGUAUUUAGUACUAAUGGUUUAGAGCAGGAAUUGACAAACUGUGGCCUGGACUCAUGGACCAACUCUGGCCCACCACCUGUUUCUCAGAAGAAAAUUUUAUUGGAACUCAGCCACACUUACUCAUUUACAUGUUGUCCUUGACUGCCUUUGUGUCCAGUGUCAGAACUGAGUAGCUGCAGCGGAGGUUGUGCCUCUGGGCUUUAAUAUCACAAACAGAGCAGCUUAUAAGCAACAGAAACUUACUUCUCACAGUUUUGGAGGCUGGGAAGUCCAAGAUCAAGGUGUCAACAUAUUUAGGGUCUAGGGAAGGUCUGCUUCUUGGUUAAUAGAAAGCACCUUUCACUGUGUCUUCACAUGGUAGAAGGGGAGAGCUCUGGUAUCUUCAGCCCCUUAUAAGGGCACUAAUCCCAUUCAUGAGAGCUCCACCCUCACGACCUAAUCACCUCCAAAAGGCCCCAUUUCGUAAUACCGUCAGUUAAGUUUCAUUAUAUGACUUUGAUGGGGAUAUAGCCCAUAGUAGGUUGUAUGUCCCUGAAAGCCUAAAAUAUUUACUGUUUGGCUCUUUACAGAAAAUAUUUUCUUGGCCCCUGUUCCAGAGCAUUCAUCAAGUCAGAUAAAGGGUUUAAACCAGUCAGAGAAACUAGGUGGAAUGGAAAAGUACUGAGAGAUAAUUGGGGACAGAAAAAUAAAAGAGAUGGGAAAUGCUGCAUCAAAAUACUCCUACCUCUAGGAUGUUACUAUAUAUUGUUAGGAGAAUUCAAGUUAUUGAAACUUGCCAAAUUCUUGAGUGAAGAGGAAUUCAUUUGAGAGCCAAAAUUUGACUAAGGAAAGAAGACCAACAUGGGCUUUCCAAAGUUGAGUUUGAAUUCUGCCAUCCCCACUAAGCAGUCAUGUGACCUUGGAAAAACUCCCUACUCUGAGUCUCAGUUUCUUUAUCUGUAUUAGGUUUCAACAAAGGGAAUAAAUCAUUGGCUUCUCAUGAGGUUGUCAUAAGGAUUAAAUAAGACAAUGCAUAUAAAAGAACUGGCAGACAAUAAAUAUAGAGUCCCCCACUCCUGCUUGGUGCUCUCUUUCUCUCUCCUUCUCUACAUAGAGAAGUGCCAGAGCAUCCGUCAGUAGAAGUUACUUAAGGUUGGCUGUGUCUUCCACAUCUUUUGUUUACCCAUGAAGAACUGUGACCAUCUUGUUCUGUGUCUUGUCAUAAAGAUGGGACGUGACUUCUUUCUGCUCUUGCUUCCAUCUGGUGCUGUUUUCUGCACAGCCUCCUUGAGACCUUCCAGAACCUUCUUUUUUCCUACUUCAUAUCACUUAACCAGUAGCUAUCUGGGAUGGUUCCAGAGGCUGAAGUUUGCAGUUGAAUAACAUUUUAAAUAGUGUUAAGCGACUUGGGAUCUCUGGCCCUUUGCGUUUCAGUAUUUGUCCUUUUUAUGCCUGAUGUUUAACCUGCCACAUGUUUGUACUGCAACAUGAAUCUUGGAAAUUUUAAUGUUAUGCAUUUCAAAUGUUUUUGGUUAUCUGUAAACUAAAUGUGCCCUUAUUGGCUCACUUGUCAAUAAAGAUGUUUGUAUAUGUAUUGUCAGAAACUUUUGUAAAUUGCUUUUAAAUUCUUCCUUUUUUAAAGCAUAUUUUAAGAUGUAAUGAAGGACCAACCAAAAAAUAUCUCCAUAUCAUUCAGGAUACCAAUCCCAUUUCUAGCUGGUCAUCUGGCUUCACAACUUCUGGAGAGAUGGGAUGGGAGAUACCGUCA
rnacentral:lncRNA from 1 species